UUACAUGCUUUUCCACGGCUUUCUUGAACUUGGUACUCUGACUUGUCUUCUCUCCUCGUUCUUUCUCCAAUGAUUUGAUUUGAUAAAAUGUGUUGGUGGUAAAAAAGAGGACAUCAAAUUCUUAGUAUGAAGCUCAAGAAAGCCGUGGGAAAACAUGAACG
rnacentral:pre_miRNA from 1 species